CCUCGAAUCAGGUGGGACUACCCGCUGAACUUAAGCAUAUCAAUAAGCGGAGGAAAAGAAACUAACAAGGAUUCCCCUAGUAACGGCGAGUGAAGCGGGAUGAGCUCAAAUUUAAAAUCUGAUAGUCUUUGGCUGUCCGAGUUGUAAUCUAGAGAGGUGUUUUCCGCGUUGGACCAUGUACAAGUUUCCUGGAACGGAACGUCAUAGAGGGUGAGAAUCCCGUCCUUGACAUGGACUACCAGUGCUUUGUGAUACACUCUCAACGAGUCGAGUUGUUUGGGAUUGCAGCUCAAAAUGGGAGGUAAAUUCCUUCUAAAGCUAAAUAUUGGCGAGAGACCGAUAGCGAACAAGUACCGUGAGGGAAAGAUGAAAAGCACUUUGGAAAGAGAGUUAAACAGUACGUGAAAUUGUUAAAAGGGAAACGAUUGAAGUCAGUCGCGUUUACUUGGACUCAGCCUUACCUCGGUUUGGUGCAUUUCCUUGUGAACGGGCCAGCGUCAAUGUUGUCCGUUGGAAAAGGGUUGGAGAAAUGUGGCUCUUUCGGGAGUGUUAUAGUCUCUGAUCGUAUACAACGGCUGAUGUUGAGUGGUACAGCAUGCUUCGGCGGUGCUUGUGCUGGCAUAAU
rnacentral:rRNA from 1 species